UUGCCGCUGAUCAAAAUAAUUUGAACACUCUUAGUAGAGGGUCACCAAAUAGUCGUUUGAAGAAAAGUGUGGACGCACGGACAGCUGACGAAAGGUCAGAGUACAACGGAUGGUAUGUGCUCACAAUAGCUCACCUUGAGAAUUCGUGCCCAGGUGAGCUUAAACGUUGACGUGAACAAAUGUUAACAAAGAUUUUCCAUUUUUCUAAGAACAUAAAGGAUCAUAAUGGGGAUAAUAAGCCAGCUACUCGCUACGUGGCGCUGGUAAAAUAAGGGGUAAACAAUGAUGACCCAGAUUCUUAUCUCGCUACACUUUGCAAUGAAUUCUGAGAAGAAAUCAAAAUAUUUUGGAAGGAAAGUUUUACAAGUACAGAGAGAAUUAAUAAAAAGAGGGGCAUCAAAGGCAGAAAGGAAGAUUUGUUAACAAGCCUUGAAGCAUAUGACAGAAAUCAAGACUUCAGGGGUGAACCUAUUCUCCUACCAGAACCUCUGGAUCCAGACUGGCAAGCAGACCACAGGACCCACUUCCUUAAAUUGACAAAUGAGCAAAUUGAAGGAUAUUUCAAGUACAGGGAGGCUGUGGAUAAUGAUUUGAUGUCAGACUUGAAGACACUUGAAAAAGGAAAACUAAUGUUUGAAAGCAAGAAAAUCUGUGCAUGUCGUGCUAAAGUCCAAAUAUAUACUUUACUGGUGUAGUAGGGGCAGCCAUGAAGAAGAACAUAACAUACAAUUUCAAACUUAAACUGCACAAAGAUAAUGGAGAAAUCCAGAACAGCCACUGUGAAUGUCCAGCAGGAAAAGGACCACAUGGAACCUGCAAGCAUGUUGCGUCAGUAUUGUUGAUGAUAAAUGCAUUUGUCUCUGGAAGUGACGCACAUGUCCAGCAAAGUUGCACAGAUAUAUUGCAAACAUUUCACAAACCAAAACAGUCAUAUGUUGGCAAACCAUUAAAGGCACAGGACAUUCCAUCAAAAGCAGUGCAAGCUAUUUGACCCAUGACCAAGACAGUACAGAAACGUGGAACAUCAAACUUAACAAAUAAGGCAAUCAUUCAUGGGAUGCAAUAUGAAAAAACAGCAAUUAAAAAAAAAGAAAAGCAAACGAGAAAUAGUGUCAACAACUGCGGUUUAUUCAUAUGUAGUUUCUCUACAUAUCCAUAUCUGGCUGCAACACCCGACGGAGUCAUCAAUGAACAAACAAUAGUUGACGUGAAAUGUCCAUAUACUGGGAAAGAGGAAAUGAUCCAGCCUGGGAAAUUGUUUCGGUACUUGGAGUAUAUAGACGGAGAAAUGGAGUUAAAGAAAACUUCAAACUACUGUUAUCAGAUAGAAGGACAGAUGUAUAUAAGUAAAAGACACUAUUGCUUUUUCAUUGUGUAUACAUUCAAGGAUAUGUUUGUACAAAAAGUUGAACUAGAUCAUGAGUACUGUAAACACAACAUUUUAUCAAAGCUAGGACUGUUCUACAAAAAGUAUCUGUGGAAAUAUAUAGCUGAACAUCUGUGAAAUAACAUUGAUGAUGAUUUAUGUAGACAUUUUCAGUACAAUAUAAUGUUCAGUCUAUGAAAUGCUAAGAUGCAUUUGAUAAAUAAUUGUAUGUAGUUGAAAUAAAUAUAUUACAGCCCAGCAUCAAUAGUUCAUAUUCCUUAGUAUUUCUGCGUAAAACAAUAAUAGUUAUGCAAGUUUACCAACAAUUCAUCUAUGAACUACUCAAAAAUCCUUUAAACAAAUGUAUUUAAGUAUUUAUUUGACUAUUUUCUAAGAUUUUAUUUUGUUCUGGGUCAAAUACCUAGGAAAUUGCAAAUUAAUUGGUGUUAAGGGUCAAAUACCUAGGAAAUUACAAAUUAAUUUGUGUUUAUUACGCAGAAUCUCUACUACAUUCUACAGUAAAUCUAAGGUCAGGCUAGAUAAUGUUUACCCUUUAUUUCACCAGCGCCCUCUGUGGAGAUAACCAGAGGUAACUCUGUUCUUAUUAUCCCCAUUCUUACAGAAUACAUAUGCAGGGUUGUGGUUCUUAGCCUAAAUACUCAUUUAAUGAUGUUUAACAAGUGUGCAAAGUUUCAAAGCUAUUGCUCGUACAGUAUUUAAUAAAGAAAUUCAAAUUUUCAAAGUAUAAAAAGGGCCAUAAUUCUGACAAAAUGCAAGUGAUAUUUAUGUGAACUAGUGUUUUCUAACAAAAAUUGUUUUUAAAAGUAGACACUAUAUGCAUAUAGAAAAGAACUGUAUACAUAUAUGAAAAAGUGGCUAACGUCUCUGGCGGUCAUGUUUUCGACAAACUAGAAUAAUUGAAUAAUAUAAACAAACUUGGAAUAGGGUCACCAAAGAAACAAAAACUUACGAUGAUCAAGUAGAACAAGUGAUCUCUAGAGUGUAAACAAGUUUUUUUCUAUGAUUUGACGUACUGUUCUAACUUAGUAUCUCAGAUAACUCAUUUUAAAUUGACCUAAAUUUCAUAGAGAUAAACAUUCCUGCAAAGUUUCGAGUAGAAAAUGUGGCCUCUAGAGUGUUAUCAAGGAUUUUCUAAAAUUUGACAUAGUGAUCUUGUUUCAGACCACAGGUACUUGAUAUACGUGUCAUAGAGACAAACAUUCUGACAAAGUUUAUGCUGAUCAACUAGAAAAUGUGUCAUCGAGAGUGCUGAUAUGUAUCUAUUAUUUAACCUAGUGACCUAGUUUAAGACAUCAGGUAACCUAGUUUAAAAUUUGACCUAGAUUUCACAGCGGAACCCAUUCUAACAAAGAUUUCUGAUGAGAUAGAAAAUGUUGCCUCUACAGUGUAAAAAUGGUUUUCCUAUAAACUGGCCAAAUGACCUAGUUUUUGAGCCAAGAUAACCCAGUAACUAACUCGUCCGAGAUUCUUUUAGGGUAACAUUCUGACCGAGUUUCGUUAAGAGUUAAAAGUCAAACUGUUGCAUAACGUUAACAAUUGGCGAUGUCCUUUAUGUAAGGCAGGGACGAUAUUCGCAUGUACUGAAGACUCAAGAUACUAUUGAAUUAUUUCCCUUGAACUAGACAGUACUAUCAACACCGUCAAUUGUGUAAUGCUACUUGUUGAAGACUAUCAGGCGUAGGGAUAUAGUUUUGGCUUCUCCGCCUGGCUGUUUGUUCGUCCCUCUGUCCGUACGUGCGUGCGUCCGUCCUCCCGUCCGCCCGUCAGAAAUUGAAAAAAAAAACUAUAAUUAAAAAAAGUGUUUUAACUAGAAUCACAUAACGACACAUAAUUAUUAAUUAGUACAUGGCUUUUGUUCACAUGUAGUAUCAUCUUCCUUGACCCAGUAAAAGCAGAGUGUUCCCCUUGAUUGGUAAAAACGUUGAAAAUGCUUGUAAUUCACCUAAAAUCACCAAACCUCACUUAAUUAUAAAUUAUCACAUGACCUUUGCUCACUUAUAGAAUUAACCAACUUAACCUAUCAAAAGCAGUGUGCCCCAUUCAUUUUGUACUGUAUCUAGGUAACCUAUUGAUGGAACUUCGUGAGAUGGUACUACAUGUAUAGGGUGGUGGUGCACCCGCAACUUAAGUCUAGAUCACUUCAGUAACCAGAGUUAUUGCCUUUUAACUGUUUUAUAAUCCAAAAAUUCCAACACAAUAUAGUAAUAGAUAUAGAUCUUCGUGAAACUUGCUUUUGUUGGGUUUAACGUCGCACAGACACUAUUGUAGGUCAUAUGGCGACUUUCCAGCUUUGAUGGUGGAGGAAGACCCCAGGUGCCCCUCCGUGCGUUAUUUCAUCACGAGCGGGCACCUGGGUAGAACCAUCGACCUUCCGUAAGCCAGCUGGAUGGCUUCCUCACAUGAAGAAUGCAACGCCCCGAGUGAGGCUCGAGCCCACAUCGAUGAAGGGCAAGUGAUUUGAAGUCAGCGACCUUAACCACUCGGCCACGGAAGCCCCCGUUUAAUAUGUACUCAAUAUGUAACCAAUAUACAGCUUCAGCAGAACUACCAUAAUCUCGCUGUAUAUGAUGCGGAUGAAAUUGUAGAACAAUUUUCGUUAAAAACAAAUCCAUUUAUUUAAUAACAGAGAUAAAACAGAGUGAAAUGCAUCUACACUUUAACCUGAAAUUCAAAGUAAAAUUGGCAUAAUUCAUGAUAUAUUUGUGCCAGAGUUAUUGACCUCGUCAAACAUCAUUUGAAUGAAGAUGUGAGACAGACUGAAAAUGUAUCCAGACUUUAACCUGAAAUUCUAUGUGGCUUCAAAGGAUUUGAGAGAUGAUGAGGGAAACGAAGGGAAAAAUUAAGUUUGAAGCUAGUCCAUUCAAUAACUACAUAUUAAAAGUGCAUUUCAAUCAUAACCAAGACUCUGGUCUUGGAUUUGUACGCCGAUUUCGACGUUAGUGUGAUUGGGAAGGCUCUAUUUAGUGAAGUGGACCUAAAUGUGACGUUUAUGGGAUGUUCGUGAGAUUCCGGAUCGUGACAAUAUUCACAUUGUAUUCAGUAAAUGUAUAAAAGGUUUUAAUUAAUAAAAGAGGUUAUGACCCA